UCGUCACUCCUUAUAACCAGUUACCUCCGUUGAGACUUGGUCGGUACGGCGCACUUCCUUCUUACAGGAUGCCUAACAUUUGAAGAAAAUAAACCCUUCUUGAGGGAGAUGCACAUCUCCCGACUGCCAUGGUUUGCUUAUUCCUGGCCGAUUGAGGCACGGUCGUCGGCGCCAUUAUGCCUCCCAGGUUCGCAAUAGGCCUUAGUAACCCAAAUUUCCCAAGCGUCCGCCAAAUAAUUCAGUCACCACUUUCGGAUGUCGAGUUGACAUCUUGACGGUAACUAUGACUAUCUGAACUUAAAUCAACUUCAUCCGCCUUACACAUCACAUCGCCACUUUACGAAUCUAUAAUGUGUCUUGUGGCUAUCGCUUCCGUCGAAUGAUUUGAUGCUAACUGCGAGUACUUGCUUUCGCACCCCUCGCUUGUCCUAAUCUAUGGGACCAUCAGGUGCGUCAUUUGCACUAAUGAGCAAUAACCGCUAUAUGCCAGUCACUGAUUCGCUUUCACU
rnacentral:rRNA from 1 species